CCACCGUGCGUAGCACGGUUUAUGCCUCCUAGUUACACGUAAAAGGAGACAUAGCCUCCGUCGUCGAGUCCAAGGUCCAAGCGCCCGGCGACGAUUGAAACGGCAAGACAACCAGGCCCUCCUCUUCCGCAAACUUUCUGACCGCGCGUGGCCUCCUCAGAUCAUUCUUCUUCAUGCUUGUCUUUCUUCCAUCCGCAUCCUUCCGCUGCCUUUGUUUUUUCUCCCACAGUUAAUUGAACAGUCCAAGAAUCAAAAUACAAUAAUCUUUUUAUACUAGCGUUUCCCAGGAAGUCAAAUCACACGCUCAUAGCUCAAUUCUUAUUAAGGGAAAGAGAAGACAAGUAAACCAGAAAAGAGAAAUCAAGAGCCAAGAAUGGGACUCUUCACCUACACCAUAGCCGGAGGCGGUUUCAUCUUGAUCGGUGCUUGGGAAUCGUUCGUGUCUUCCUCUGAAUGUAUCCGAAAUACGCCACCAUCUCCGCCCCUUGCCAGCCAUCGCGCCAUUUCAGGUAUUAACAACAGCAGCACUCAAACGAAAAAGGCCCCUCCUUUUUCAUCAUCGGUAACAUGCUUAUCAAUCUCCGUCCUUUCUUUCCUCUUCAUUCUAAACUCUCUCAUCUCCAUCUCCGACGCCCUCAACUCCAAAGACCACGUCGGUUUCGCCUUCCAGUUAGAGGUAAUCGCAAUCGCGCUCUUUUUUUCCUAUAUUCAACUUUGGGUCUCUUCACGCUUGUCAAGAUUUCGUUUCAAUUUCCUUCAGCGAUCCUCAAUAUGCUGCUUCUUUUCGCUUUCGGCGAAGAAUUUUUGUUCUUUUACGUUAGAAGAAAGGACCCCAGUGGGGUAGAAAACCGAUACUACGAUCUCUUCCUCGUGCCAAUAGGCAUUUGUCUGUUUUGUACUAUUCUCGAACUGAAAAGUCCCAAAUCGAAUUAUGCAAGAUUGGGACGCGGGGUUGGACUGGUUUUACAGGGUAUGUGGAUAGUCCAGAUGGGUUUCUCAUUUUUCUCUGAUUUGAUGAUGGUACAUGGAUGCUCUUUGCACGGGAAGAGUAGAGGAAACUAUACGAUUAAGUGUAAAGGGCACCCUGAGUAUCAUCGUGGUCGAGCGAUCGCUACGCUUCAGUUUAAUUGCCAUCUUGCACUUCUAGUGACUUUGAUUGUUGUGGUGUAUGGAAUUGUCUGCAAGAAGCAUGGGAUUAGGCGUGAUUUGUUGCUGUAUAGGCCGCUUGGACCUGAGAUUGAGCAUCUGGAUGGUCAGCCUCAGUUUACUCUGGAUUCUGAUGAUGAUCUUGAUGAUGCUGAUCAGAAUGGGAUUAAAGAGGUGGGGAGUGUGGAAAUGCAGAAGGCUAUUGUAGCAGUGCCUGCAUCAGAAGUCAAUGGUUAUGGUACUCAUUGACGAGAAUUUGUGAUUCGGUUUGUGAUCUGUGGCAAUAAUGUCACCUUUUGAAGGACUUCCACUUCAGUGAUAAGGGUGGAAGGAGAAAAGAUCAUCAGUUAGUAACAUCUGAAUGUACUUGAGUGGCAAAUAUGCAAUCGGUUACUUUGAAGACUAGUAGAAUUAGCUCAAAGAAUGAAGAGCAAAAGAGUGCAAAAUCAUUAUCAUUGAGUUUCUCAAGCAUUCGCAAGGGUGGCAAAGGGGUGAUGGAAGGUUCUAAAGGUGCUCAAAACAAGAAGUAGCUUGGAAUCUGGUCAUCACUUUGGCUGUAGAGACUAGAGAGAUAGACUCAUCAAUUAUCAGCAUUAGGAAGACCUGCUGGAAUCUGCUGUUAGGUGAUGUCAAAGUUGCUAAACCCUUGAUAUGAUGAACCAAGUUUAUUUGGGAUGGUAGCAUUAGUUGGACGCCAAGCGCAUCCUUGACUAGUCUGCGCUGUGUUUCAUUUUGCUCUCUUUGAUGGUACACUGUUCAUCUCCGCCUCACUUGGUAGACAAGAGUAGAUCAGGAUACAUAUUUCUAAACUUAUGCCCUCUUGCAUAUAGCAUUGUGGGUUGCACAGCUGGAGCUAUUGGCUAGAUAACGAACAAAAUGUCUUUAUGUUUCAUGUUUAUAAGGAUUCACGAUGUGCAUAUUUAGACAUCAGUAUCGGAUAUUUUUUUUUUUUUUCGGGGUGAUCAGAAAACUGAAUCUCAUCUCAUUAUUCGUGUCAGAAUAGUAGCUCAUGUUUUGCUAAUACUGGUGGAAAAAGUUUACUACUUAGAUUGGAUA